GACGAACCGAGCGAACGUUGUUCGGAAUCACUUGGGCGUUAAAGGGCGCGUGAGGCGGGUGCUCAAGUCCGUGGUGAAAUCCUCCGGCUCAACCGGAGAACUGCCUCGGAUACUGGGCGUCUCGAGUGUGGUAGGGGUAUGCGGAACUAUCGGUGGAGCGGUGAAAUGCGUUGAUAUCGAUAGGAACUCCGGUGGCGAAGGCGGCAUACUGGACCGGCAUUGACGCUGAGGAGCGAAAGCUAGGGGAGCAAACGGG
rnacentral:rRNA from 1 species